rnacentral:rRNA from 1 species
UACAGAGGGUGCGAGCGUUGUCCGGAAUCACUGGGCGUAAAGGGCGCGUAGGCGGCCUGAUAAGUAGGGGGUGAAAUCUUGCGGCUCAACCGCAAGGCUGCCUUCUAAACUGUCAGGCUGGAGCACGGUAGAGGCAGAUGGAAUUCCCGGUGUAGCGGUGGAAUGCGUAGAUAUCGAGAGGAACACCUGCGGCGAAGGCGGGUAGCUGGGCCGACACUGACGCUGAGGCGCGAAAGCCAGGGGAGCGAACGGG